ensembl:lncRNA
GUAAAUAAGAAAUCUGUCAACCAGUUUGCAGGCCAGGAAUGGGUGGAAUGUGUUUGCACUGGCAAAGGGGAAUAACAGUAAAGAUAAUGGUAACAAUAACAACGUGUGUGUUUUUAGUGGGCACUACUGUAUGCUGUAGGGAUGCUUAGGGGAAGUUAGUAUACUUAAGAGUAUGCACCACAUAGUUCAUUUUUAGGGUGUUUGCAGCAGGGGUAUUUCAUUUUCAUACAAUCACAUAUGCAUAAAGGAAAGUAAACCCAUAAUAAGUGGAGGUACAUGUGGAUAAGAGGAUCGUUCACUGAAAAUCUCAACAGCUCACUGUAAUCUACUGUGUGAAUGGAUGACUGUGUCUUGUCUCAUUUUUAAGUAAUAUCUUUUUUUUUUUUUUUUCUUCAGGGGUUAAUUGAAAUAUGCACCCACAAGAUUUGUGGCACGAAGUACAAAGUCAUCAUUCAAAUGUGGGGUUUUUAAGCAUAUGUGUGAAUGUCAGGCUUGAGGAAAAUGGUGGACAGCUAGUCAAGUCUCAGGUCUCUAUAUACAGAUACAAAGCUUGUCUGUCUGUAAAAGGUUCAGUACAACUUUAACUGUUUUUUUUCUCUCUCUCUCUCUCUCUCUCUCUCCUUUUCUCUCCUGCAGUACAUAACAAAUCAUCAAAGCCGGGAUUAAAAUUUCGUGAAGGAGCAGCUUUGACUCCUGGAAGACUUAAGCGUAUUAGCUUUAAAACCAAGAUGGGAGUUUCAAGUGAUGUAUGGCAGACUUCAAAGAUGUUUUAAUCUGUCAGUAGGCAUGCUCUUGCACAGGCUAUUUAUAUUAGGACACAGUGUUUCUGCUUGCACAUCCUAAUCAAUGGCUUCUCCGGCUAGACCCAGCCUGAUGUUGGUGUUAACCAGUUAUUAAACAGCUGCACUUCCUCUAGAUUGUUUCCUCUGCUUUUCUUUAGAGUGGUCUUUAGAGGCACGACAUGUACUUAUUAUGAAUAAUCAUUUUAUGAUUUAAUGGUCACAACUGCACUUCUAUUCAUGCUACUGAAAUGUAUUUGGACGCUUAUAAGGUCACACUUAAAAAUUUUAAUGUCUUUGCAUUAUAUCAGUAUAUCAAACAUUAAAACAUAUGACAAAAAGAGUUGUUUGGACACUUUCUGGUUAGUGUAACAUUCAUUGUUAAUGGGAUGAAUUACAGCUGUGUUUACUCUGAUGGAACACAUGUAGUUGACAUGAUAUCUAAGAGGAUCGGCAGUAUCUUGUGGUGUGACAUGCUACAUUUUUUUCCACAUCUUCUAGGCGUUCUGUAUAGCCUUAUUAAUUGGGACAUGAAUACACUAUAAAAAAUUAUAUGAUUUGUAAAUCAUGGCAACUUAUGUUUUAUCAUUGACUCGUCAACUUUUUAUAAAUUAUAUGAAGGUCAACUUUUUAAGUCGGUUUAAUGUUAUUUAAGUUGAAAUGACUUUUACAACCAAGUUGAUUAUACUUAAAAUUUUAAGGCAGCAACUAAAGUUUUUAAAUUGAAAUAGGUGAAUUUUUUUACAGUGAAUAUUGCUACUGUUAAAAUGAAUUUGUUGCACUGCAGAACAAUUUAAAAUAAUUAUCUAUCAAAGGGAAAUUGUGUUUAAAAUGUUUUGACUAAAAUAAAUGUUGACCACAGGACUUGAAACA